ensembl:lncRNA
UAGUUGGAACUUUCAGCCUCAAGGCCACAUGGGGCCCUCUAGGUCCUCAAGCGGUCCUCUGACUGAAUCCAAACUUCAGUGGAGCACAGGCCGCAGGCUCCUCACCCCUGGCCUAAAGCUUUGUGACUGCUCCCUAUGGCCCUCUGGGGUCAGGCAGACCAAGUCUGCUCCCUCUGCCCUUGAAGGCAGGAUCCUCUCCCGGACAGCCCCCGCCCUCAGCUGGAGUGUCAGGGGUUGGGGGCCAGAACAGCUCCCAGCCUCCCGUUAGAAGCAGAGCCCAUCACAUCAAGAGUCCUAUUUUUGACCAGCCUCUGCCCCUGCCAAAGCAAACUCCAGUGCCCAACAGCUGCCCAGCCUCAGCCAUGGCCUGCCUGAGAAGGACUGUUUUGGAAAGUUAGAGAAGAACUGACCCGAGCUGUUUGUGAGCAAUACGGGUGCAGAAAUGUGGAUGUUUCAGAAAUUCAUGCUGCCUCUCUACCUUUGGACCAUCAGUGGAAAGAGCUCUUGUCUGGGACACCACUGGGUCUUGUUCCUAGAGCAACCAUUGCUGGGGGGCCCAUGCCAUGACAGGCUUCAAGGAGGGGUGAGUGGGAGGAACCAAGUGACCUUUAGUCUCACCCAAAGCAGAAAAAGAAUCCCGAGGCCCCAUCCCCAACAGGUGGGCGUCCAGCCUCUACUCAAAGACCUCCAAGGACAGCGAGCCCACUGCCUCUAUGACGCUGAGACAAUGGGCUGAUGCUGGUACAUCACGGACUCAACCUUGUCGUCACUGAAAACUCCCAGGUCCGGAUUUCAAACACCAGGCUUCACAAAGGGACCUCAUGGCUAGUCUGGGAAUGGUGUGAAUCCACGGUCUCUCCAGUUUCACCCAAGCCCAGCAAGUCUGGCUUGGGAAAUACAGGACAAUUUAUAUCCCAGGAAAAAGAUUCUCAGAUGCACUUUGGCCUUUUCACCCUUCCGCCCUGGCACGGCAGUUAGAGCUCAGCAGCCUUUACACAAAGGACAGCUCUGGGAUACCGGACAUACAAAAUUCAAAUCUCAAUGGGCUUCUUGGCUGGCCAGCUUCUAACCUGUUGGAAUUGAUCAAUGACCUUUCUGACUACUCCCUUUACUUAUGUUUCUCAUACAUGACCCUCUGUCUUCCAUUUCCUUGCCCUUACACAGGCUGAACCCCAUGUCUGGAAGGUCCUUGCUCCUCAUCUCCAUUUUUAGAACCCCCAGCUUCCUUCACACCUCAGUUCCAAUGUUGAACACUUUCUAUAUGAGACCUUUCCUCAUCCCCCUAGCUAUUCAUGCCUGACCCGCCCUUCCCCCCAUCAAUUAUCCUGUGUUACAUAUUUAUUUUUAUUUUGGUACUUAUAUAGGGACACGGUAUGUUCCCAGGUAGAAUAUAAGCUCUUUGAAGGCAGGGACUGGGUUUUGGUUUCUGUACCCCUAGUAGCUAGCCAGUGCCUGACACACAGUAGGAGCUUAAUGACUAGUAUCAUAAGGUCAUCGAUUUAAAGUUGGAAGGGACUUAUGAGGUCAUCUGGUGAUCUUCCCUCAUUUUACAAAUGAGGAAACCAAGGUCAGAAGACCUGUGUGACAGGGUUACACAGCUAAUAAGUGUCUGAGGUAGGAUUUGAACCCAGGUCUCCUGACUCUAAGUCCAGCUUUCUAGCCUCUAUACCAUGCUUCCAAUAAUACUUGUUAGUUGAUUGAUUCCUCCACUGAAGUCAUCUUCCAACCUCACCAUAUCACCAAGGUGACCCUGGGUUCUUGAAUGUCAAACCAGAGCUGGUAAGGCUUUGAGCACUGACUGAUAGCUGACUUUGAGUCUUUCCUCCAAGGACCAACCUGGAUCAUCAGUGAAAGGCUGACCACCAGGGAACGAAUUUUUGGGUGGAGCUAUAAGAAGUCAUUCAGACCAUCAGAUUGGCCAAGCUGACAAAAAAAAAAAGGGAAAAUAACAGAUGUUGGAGGGAUUGUGGGGAAAUGGUCGCAUGAUUACAUUGUUGGAGGAGCCAUAAAAUGUCUUGCCAUCCUGGAAAGCAAUUUGGAAUCGUGCCCGGAGAGUCACUAAACUGUGUAUGCCCUUUGACUCAGUAAUGCUGCUACUUGGCCCAAAGAGAUCAAAGAAAGGAAAACAAUCCAUAUGGACCAAAAUAUUGAUAGCAGCUCUUUCUGUAACAGCAAAGAAUUGUAAACUAAAGGGGCACCCAUCAAUUGGGGAAUGGCUGAGCAAGUGGUGGUGUAUGAUUGUGAUAGAAUACCAUUGUGCUAUAAGAGAUGAUGAAGGGGAUGGCUUCAGAGAACACUGGGAAGGUUUCCACGUCUUUAUGAACUGAUGCAGAGUGAAGGGAGCAGAGCCAGGAGAAUAAGUCUCGUCAUAACAGCAUUGUAAACAACUCAGAAAGACUUAAGAACUCUGAACAAUGCAGUGACCAGCCAUGAUUCCAGAGAAUCAUUGGUGAAGAAUGCUGCCCCCUCCUGGUAGGGAGGAGAUGGACUAAAUUUGAAGAUUAAGACAUAUAUAUAUAUAUAUAUAUAUAUAUAUAUAUAUAUAUAUAUAUAUAUAUAUAUAUAUAAUAUAUAUAUAUAUACAUACACACAUAUUUACACAGGCCAAUGUGGGGAUUUAUUUUGCUAUGCAUAUUUAUUAGAAGGGUUCUCCCCCCUGCCUUUACUUUUCUCAGGGAAAAGCAAUGGUUGGAAGGAAGAAAAAUAAUCUAUUUUUUUCCUUGAAAAGAUAAUUUUUUAAAAAAAUCACCUAGAACAUUAUUUAAGGCACAGAAGGGACCUUUGUCAGAGUAGGAAACUUUGAAGUAAGUGUUGAAAGAAAUAUGUGUACACACACAUGUAUGUAUGUGUUUGUAUAUACAUGCACACACACAUAUAUACAUAUGUGCAUACAUAUGUAUACAUGUAUGUGCGUGUAUCCAUAGAAUCCUGAGACUCUAGGCUCUCUGAGAUGGACAGGACCUCCAGGGUCCCUGAGGGUGCCCUAAUAUCCUAUCCAGGACCCUUUUUUUCCAGCAUCGCAGACCAAAAGUCAUCUGGCAGAUCCACCUCUCCCCCUUCACCCUUCGAUUAUGGCUGAGUCUACAACACAUCAGAACAGUCAGUCCAUGUAGUCAGUUUCAUCAAAUAACUGGUUGAUGGCCAAAAUCGUCGGUUAAUGAAUUGAUUGCUCUAAGGUUCAUCUAGUUAUAUGUAGCCUCAACUCAUUUAACAUGCAAAUUGGUGAAACAUUUAAUAUUUUUAUCCAUCCUCCGCUCAGUCCCGAAAGUGAUGUUACCUAAAGCCCAAGUAGGACAACAGCACCGCCCCUACUCAAUAGACCCUGGUGGCUCCCUAUUGCUUCCAGGAUCAAAUAUGAAUUCCAUUGUCUGGUGUUCCAAAGCCCUUUGUAACCGGGUCCCUGCCUGCCUUUCCAGUCUCAUACCUCCCGUUCUCCACCCACAUACUCUUCCAUCAGUGACACAGGUUCCAUAAUUCUGUCCCCUGUUGCCUGCAGGCUUUCUCUCUUCAUCCCCACUUGCUAACUUACCUGGCCCUCCGUUAAGUGCCAGCUGAAUCUUGUCUUCCAUAGGAAGCCUGGCCGAGCCCCCAGCACCUUCCCUCUGUUACUUAUUUACUAUUUAUCCUGUAUAUAGCUAGCUUUGUUUUUAUUUGCUGGCUUGUCGUUUUGCCUCCUUAGAUUGUGAGCUCCUCACAGGCUUUGUUGUUGUCUAGUCAUUUCACAUAUGUCAGACUCUCUGUGACUCCAUUUCUUGGCAAAGACACUGGAAUGGUUUACUCUUUCCUUCUCCACCUAAUUUUACAGAUGAGGAAACUGAGGCAAACAGGGUUAAGUGACUUGCCCAAGGGCACACAGCACAUUUGAACUGGGAAGAUGAGUCUUCCUGGCUCCAGGCUUAGCUGCCCCAACUUGAGGAGGGUGGCUGCUGUCUUUUGCUUCUUUUUUGUACCCCUAGGGCUUAGCAUAGUGCCUAGCACAUAGUAGGUGCUCAAUAAAUGUUUAUAGAGUGAUUGAUUG